rnacentral:tRNA from 1 species
AGCCUUAAGGUGACUUUUCAUGUCGAAUUGCAAAUUCGGAGGAGUAGGAAAACCCUACUAAGGCUU